GAUGAAGAACGCAGCGAAAUGCGAUAAGUAAUGUGAAUUGCAGAAUUCCGUGAAUCAUCGAAUCUUUGAACGCAUAUUGCGCCCUCUGGCAUUCCGGGGGGCAUGCCUGUCCGAGCGUCAUUAAAAUCACUCAAGCUUAGGUUUACCUAUUGCUUGGUCUUGGAGAUGGAAGCCAAUUUAUUGGAAUCCUCUUCGAAAUUCAAUGGCGAAGACCCUUGCUCUCCCAAGUGUAGUAAUAACUUAUGUCACUGAAGGAAGCGAGAAAUCUUCUGCCGUAACCCCCAUAUUUUCUAUGAUUGACCUCGGAUCAGGUAGGGAUACCCGCUGAACUUAAGCAUAUCAAUAAGCGGAGA
rnacentral:misc_RNA from 1 species